rnacentral:tRNA from 1 species
UAUUUAAAUAGUUUAUUAAAAUAUUGAUUUGUGGAAUCAAAGAUGUUUAUGACUUUAAAU